CGCCGCGUGUGGGACGAAGGCCUUCUGGGUUGUAAACCACUUUCAGCAGGGACGAUUGUGACGGUACCUGCAGAAGAAGCCCCGGCCAACUACGUGC
rnacentral:rRNA from 1 species